GACGAACGCUGGCGGCGUGCCUAAUACAUGCAAGUAGAACGCUGAAGAGAGGAGCUUGCUCUUCUUGGAUGAGUUGCGAACGGGUGAGUAACGCGUAGGUAACCUGCCUGGUAGCGGGGGAUAACUAUUGGAAACGAUAGCUAAUACCGCAUAACAACAGUUGUUGCAUGACAGCUGUUUAAAAGAUGCAAUUGCAUCACUACCAGAUGGACCUGCGUUGUAUUAGCUAGUUGGUGAGGUAACGGCUCACCAAGGCGACGAUACAUAGCCGACCUGAGAGGGUGAUCGGCCACACUGGGACUGAGACACGGCCCAGACUCCUACGGGAGGCAGCAGUAGGGAAUCUUCGGCAAUGGGGGGAACCCUGACCGAGCAACGCCGCGUGAGUGAAGAAGGUUUUCGGAUCGUAAAGCUCUGUUGUAAGAGAAGAACGGGUGUGAGAGUGGAAAGUUCACACUGUGACGGUAUCUUACCAGAAAGGGACGGCUAACUACGUGCCAGCCGCCGCCGUAACAC
rnacentral:rRNA from 1 species